rfam:Poecilia formosa, whole genome shotgun sequence.
CUGGUGUUGAUUGUCCAAACGCAAUUCUUGUACUGCUGCUCCAAAUCCAGGAGUUGUGGAUGGACAUCAUGCUCCCC